rnacentral:lncRNA from 1 species
AUCGACGAGAUGAAUUGUACUUUAUAUCCUAGUACCAAAGGAUACCUUGAGGGACUAAGCAUUCCUAUAGCCACUGGUAGCUACAGAGGAUGAUGACAUAUCUACGGAUGUCUACCCUUGAUCAGUUUACUGCGAGUUUUCACGUCGUGUAUAUCUUUACUUAAGGGACUAACUAUUCCUAAACCCAACUGUUAGCAACAGAGGUAAAUGCACAUCUACGGAUGUCUACGGUUGAUCAGUUUACGGCGAGUUUCCACGCCGUGUGUAUCUUAGUACCAAAGGAUACAACAUAAGUUAUUAUUACUUUUAGAGUUUUAUAAUAAUAGUUAAACAGGGAAAAACCGUCACAUUUUCAGGUGAUGUGUACUUUCAAAACAGUCAGGUCUUAGUAAAAGACUACUUUCAAAACAUUCGGGUCUUGGUAGAAGACUAGUUUUAUACUAGUAGGAAAUAUGGGAUUUUCUAAAGUUUUCAUACUUAUACAAUGUUUCAUCAAUCAUUCACCAGUCUUUCAUAACAACUAAUCAAAGCAAUGACAUUAAAUACUUAUGAACUCACCAGCUUAAAUGCUGACCUACACUUUCAAAAUAACUUGUAUUCUCAGGUUACAAAUAGACAGGUGCCGAUGCAAGGUUUAGAGAAGACGGAGCAGUCAAGACUCGUCUUUUAUUUUGAUCAGUUAUCAUGUUGUCUUGUACUAUGAAAGAAAACACUUGUAACUAAAAUUAUACUAUUAAUGCAAUGGAUGAUGUUGUUGUUUGUUUACUACUUUACAUUUGUUGUGAUGCAUACAUGACGUCCUCCGCCCCAGAACGUUUCCGUCGUUCUCGGUUUUGGGGUGUGACAGAUUGGUAUCAGAGCAUUGUUUAUAGUGAAUUGAGUAUAUCAACCCAUAAAAGAUAUACUAACUAUAAAUACAAUGGGAUUAAAAAUACUCUGAUUUAGAGUUUAUACUUUAAAUAAUAAAAUAUUUAAGUAAGUAUACGUGCCUGCAUUCAUACUAAAAUCAGUGUCACUAGGACAGUACAAAAGAAUUACGAUUGUUGGGCAACACAAGUGGGCUUAGAGACAUAUGGUCAAAACUGGGAAGAUAUAGCCUGAUCACCUAUAUUAUCCGAGGGUUGACUAGCAUGUGCCUAAGUUUAAUUGGGUGGUUGCAACAAUGCUAAAAUCUUACCAACCCUACCACAAUGAGAGCAAUAGAACAUAACAUAAAAAUUAAAAUACUAUAGGAGUAUUUGGUGUUACUAUAAGUACUUUAUACUUGAGAACUAAAACGGGAUCUUCAUCACUAAGUUGAUAGUUGCUAAGUGGAUACACUAAGGCUAUAUGUAAUUAGGAUGUUAUAGACUUAGAAUCUGUGAAAAUUUUACUUCACCCCUAUUCUGUGUGAAUACGGAGUUAAGGUCACUUAUUCGAAGGUCUAUCCUGUUAAAUUACACAUAGCUGGUAUGCACUUCACAAAUAGCGAUGUAACUAAUGAAGGUUUUCUAAAUAAUUAUCUAGAUAGUUCGUCUAAUAAUUAUUCUCUUACCCUUAAUUUUCGCAUAGAAAACAUAGCUGGACUCCAUCCCCUCGGCAACCAGUAUCUUCCGAAUGAAGUCAUAGCUGGUUGGUUUGGAGAAGAACCAGAGAAUGAUCAUCCUAUCCCUUUGAAUGAUCACCAUGAUGAAGACCUUUCAGACAAUGCUAAUUCCGAACCAGAGGUUGAGAACCUACCCCAAGCAGCUCCCUUUCCAAUUCCUAACCCUCGUCCGGCUUUUCAUGGCCCGACGCCUGAGUGGGUGGAAUGCUUGGAAACAUGGAGCCAAGGACAAGAUCAGCCCAUGCCAUUUAUUGGCGACCGAAACUUUUACGACCUGAGCAAUGGGGGCUCAGCAUGUAGAAUCUUGCCAAUCUUGGUCCGCAGAGUGGCCCGAAAUGAGAUUCAAGGCAGGACAGCCCUACAUCAGAUUGCCGAAGUUGUCGCCGAUGCAAGAAUGCAUACCCUCCGCACCAUUCAUCUAGAAGAUGCUCACGAGAGAUCAGAGAGAAACCAUGAGAACCUGCUGCAAGCACUAGCUGAAAACCCGAGCCAAAGUCAUAGAGCUCCAAGUACGCCAGAGAGUGUACGAGAGAUACCUGCUUGAUAUGGAACGUCAACUAACCGAACUAAGGGUUCACCGUGAGGGUGACUGUCGCCAGUAAGAGAUACCUUACUUCCUUCUUUGUUUUAAAGAACCGUGUUCCUGUCUAUGUUCUGUGUAGUACUUUCUAUGUGACUACCUUGUACUGUAAGUACUUUUGGUUAGGUCUUUAUGAUGACAAGAGCUAUCUCCUAUGGAUAUGAUGUAAGGCCUUUUACAAGGUCAUUUUCCCAAACUUUUACGUCAUAAAUAUCAAAGGUAUUGACAGUCGGCUAACUUCUGUGUCAUUCUUUAUUCAAGUACUCUUAUCAUACUUUCAUUGGAAUCUAUCUGAAUCAUGCUUUAGUCAAGUCAUUUGACCAUAGUAAUUUAACUCCGGAAACAUUUCCAAGUCUCUUUUAGUGGUUGGAUCAUGUUAUUCACCAACCAACGAUACCUCGGCUUGAACGACAAGCGUCUUGAGACCAUUCUAUGAACUUACUUCCACUCAUUCUAGGACUACAUCCUAGGGAUGUAGGUCAACCCUUCAUAAACACACUUCCACUCAGUACUAGGACUGCAUCAUAGGGAUGUAGGUCAAACUUCCGCAAACAUACUUCCAAUCUGUACUAGGACUGCAUCAUAGGGAUGUAGGUCAAACUUUCGAGAACAUAAUUUUACUCUUUACUUGAACAAUCGAAGUACACCUAGGGUCAACCAGAAUCGCUCACAAAUUUAUUUUCUCUCCGUGAAACAGAAUCAUGUCGUCAUCCAGAAACAAUCAGCCGAGCACCGAAACCCCUAUCCUCCAUAUCGACGCCGCUACAUUACUAGCUGCAGUAGCAGCUGCUGUGACAACUUUCCUUACACACAUCAACUCAGGCAACACAAUCAAGGCUGAAAAAGGAACCGUGAGUUCCGAUGGUAGUACCAAACCGGGAAACCAACAAAUGGCAACAGUCAUGGAAUUGCGAAGCCUAAAGAGCGAAAAGAAAAGACGCUAUCGUAAAGCCCUAAGGGAGCACAAGAGAGCCCAAAGACUUGCCAUGCCACUGCCACCAGUGGCAACUCCGGCAGGACGCUUUAGGAAGAAAUCUCCAAGGUGGAGUAAUGAGGAAGGCACUCAUGUUCACAUAACAAUGGCUAAGCACCGCAAUCCCGUCACCAAUGCACGUACUAGCCAAUCAUGCCACCAAUGCGGUGAAAUAGGGCACUUCAAGAAGGAUUUCCCUAUAGCAAAGAACUCUGGCGCAGAUGGGAAGAUUCUCAGGAUCACAGCUUUAGGAAAGCCUACUCUGGAACCCUCGUUAAUGUAACUUAGGCGUGUUAUUGUAACAGACUUAUAAACCAUCCAAAACUAGUGCAACCAGAGUCUUAUCUUUUGCGGGAUCCCGUCGGUAUAGGGAUGCUCGUGCUGCGUAUACUUGCCUUUCGAAGCAUACCUUAUUCGCAGCAAUAGUCUUGUAGAAGUCUAAAGUACUGAAACUCUAUUGAUGGUUGCACAGUUGUGUUUUGUCUGUAAACAUCUUUUGUUCAAAUCUAAUGUCUUUAAGUUUCCUUAUGAUUACGACAUUAUCAUACUACUUGAUUCAAUUCUAUCCUCACAAAAGCAGCUUCAUACGUACAUCUAUUCCUCCAAAAUCGUCUUUCUAGCAAAAACCGUCAUUCCAGAACCACAAAGUACUCGUACAUAGAGCACCUCAUGUUUCUCAUCCUUUCCGGAGAAAAACUCAGCAAACUGCCCCGAAGUACCACUCAUGCAGUACGUCAAGUUCAAUCCAAAGACCCACAGUUUCAAGCUUAUUUAUAUAGGACUCGUAUACCCGAGACUGUGAUUGGUGAACCUGGUAUGGGUUCUACUAUGAACUUCAGGACGGAGACUGCCCAAGACUACGAGUGAUCAUGCUGCCAUGCGAAUAAACUUAGAAGCCCAAUGCAUGCCCUUUCUGUCGAUUGGGACGAGAAAGUCAGGUAGAACAAAAGUACCUAUCCUUUUUCCUUAAUUCAUGAGUAAUCAUACUUUAUUUUAGAUCUUCACGACAUCUAAUCAACCACAAGAUUCUGACUUCAAAAUUAGUAUGAAUUGGUUUUGUUCUUAUACAAGAGCAAAGGUCGCUUCCUAUACCUCGAGACAGCUUAAGACGCAGGAAGUUAACUAUACAACACAUAAUCUUGAGUCAGGGACAACGGUAAUUGUUUGGAAGAUCUAGAGGCACUACUUGUAGGAUACAAGAUGUACUAUUCUCACAGUCCACAAAAACAUUCAACAUAUGUUCGACCAAGAAGAGUUGUCAUGCCAGUAAAGUCAAACAAAAGAAGCAGAGUCGUGCCCCGAUAGUGAUAGGUUCGCUGGAAUGCCAAGCGAGGAACCGAGGUCACUUAAGAACACGAGAAGAAAAUAAAACUUCUAUCCAUAGAAUGUUUACCAGUUCUAAUUAAACUCUAAUUUCGGGACGAAAUUCCCUCUAACGGGGGAUGAUGUGACAACCCGAUAUUUCAAGACAAUAUGAUGGAACGCAAGUCAAAUUUAGGUCAAAAUUUAACUUUCCUAAACUCUUAUUUGGGUUAAAUAAAGUAGUAGGAAUCUUAUCAAGGCUUUCAUACAUAUAAAGAAACCAAAAAUCCGAUUUAUAAUGAAGAAGUUAUGACCAACCGAAGAUUCUCGGCAAAACCGGCAAUACUGAAAGACGUAAAAUGCGAAGUUUCAAUACAAUAGUUUUUAGCCUUAGGUAUCUAAAUAAAAGUUUUAGAUAUCAUUAAACCAUAAACGUGCAUCAAAAGAACGUCCAAAUCUGACUUCGUAUGAGGAAGUUAUGAUUUAUCUAAGUUAUAGAUAUAACAGUAGACAGCUAAAAACUCGAAAUAGAGAUCGAGAGACUUUUAGCCGACACAAUCUAAAUGAGAAUCGAAGGGCUCAACAAUACUAGCGCAACAGUAAAAACUCUGAUGAAAACGGACGUCAGAUGAAGAAGUUAUGGUACUUUAACGGACUUUUCCUGUCCCGACCUAUUAAAAAUAUAAUAUUAAAAAUAAAUUCAAAACUAGCCGACGAAGCCUUAACGAACGUUGUAGAUCGUAGUCUCACCUUCGCGUGGAUAUAAAGACCAUCGAAAACGGAGUUCGUAUGAAGAAGAUAUGAUGUUUUGAAGUUUAUUAAAUAAAUUAUAUGUAAAUUUAAAUCAAAAAUCUGGUAAUAUCCGAAGGGGGAGUCAGCGCCCUCAUCCGAGUUACGCGCCGCGUAACCCCGUACGCCCCGCGUAUGCGAAGGCCUUGGUCUCGGUUCGUCCACGUCGCCCCUAUGCGAGCCUAGCCUAUCCGUCCCAUCCGAUGCGAAGCAGUCGAGGACUCGGUCACGGGUGACGCACGAGUACGCCCCGCGUACGAGCGUACACCCCGCGUACCGAGGCUUCUCAGACCACUAUAAAUAGAGAUGCGAGGGUUCUAGAAAAAUCGUGCCAUCUCUCUCAUUUCUCUCAUGAUAUUUCCUCGAUUUCCGUGCCCAUUCUAACCCGAAGCCCUGGUCAUUUUGCUCAAGUCCCAAAGGUCGAUUUUACUCCCGAGAUUCCUGAGAAUUCCGAGAAAAAUCCGUUUCCCGAGACGAAACUCUGCCCGUUUUUCAUCUCGCUUUCUUCAAUCAAUCAAGUGAGUUCAUACCCCUAUAAUCCACACUUUUAAAUGUUUUAUAAAUGUUUUUAUAUGCUUUUAAGGGGGGGGGGGGAAUACAAGUAAAACACACGAUGAUUAUCGUAUGUUAUAUAAAGUUUCAUUAUACAUUUUUAUCAAUGGAAUCACAUGUGAUUUAUAACUAUUAUAAGGAAGCUUUCAUAUGCUAAAUGUAUCACAAUAACAUCAUAUCUUUUGAAAUGAAAAUUGUUGUUAUUAUUGUAUAACUCAAACACACUGCUUAUAUUGUAUAUAUAUGUGUCCAUCUUAGGCACUACAAAAAUUAUACCUUUCAUAAGAAGCGAGCAUUUCACUAGGGAUUAUUAUACAAACGAGACACACUUUUACAAAACUAUAAUAAGUAUAGUUUUGUGAGAACAUCACGAACUUUUAUAUACUAGAAAUACUAUUGCAAGGAGAUACAUUCAUAUACAAGAAUAAACGAAUAUUUUCAUAGAUACUUCAAAUAGUUUUCACAAACGUUUUUACAUGUUGAAACACUUUUAGAAACUGUCUUACAAACUGUAUGUUUCCUUUUUGAAUCUGUUAUAGUUGUGCUUCAAACAAAGGUUUUCUCACAUUUAAAUUGUCUUGUCAAACGGUUUUCGAAUCGAUUUAUAAACUGACAUCAAGUCAUAAAUUCUUAUUAAACUUUUCAAAGGUUUUACAAAACUUCUUUUAUGCUUUUAUAUUAUAAAAUGCAUGCCUCUAUAUGUAUAGUUAUAUAAGAAAUGUUUAAAAUACUUAGGAAGGCUAUCCACCCUGUUUCCUUUUCCUCGAUUUGGAUGUGGUCUGGUGGGAUAUCGGGUACUCUUCCGAAGGUCGUUUAAAUAUUAGUUAUAUAUCAUGUGUACAUAUAUAGUCAUAAAUGUUCCAUCAGUUAAUUUAGUUCCGAUACUCUUGGGUAACAAGGGUGUAUAAACCUACUUGGACACUCAUCAAUUACAUUCUAGUAAACUAUUAUAGGAAUAGUUUAGAGUAUACAAAACAUUAUCCCUAUUACAAGAAAUUACACCAGAGUCAGUUCAUUCAUGAGUCUAGACUACAUGCUAUAUGAAAGGAUACUCUUACAGAGAUUUCGCUUACAUGAAUACAUUUACAUAGAUCAUAUAUGACGAGUUACUACUAGAUAUGAUAUGUGUAGAUACGGUUAUAUAGAUCACCUUCUUAUCUUUACCUUGUGAUACAAUCACAUAAUCGACGAGAUGAAUUGGACUUUAUAUCCUAGUACCAAAGGAUACCUUGACGGACUAACCAUUCCUAUAGCCACUGUUAGCUACAGAGGAUGAUGACAUAUCUAUGGAUGUCUACGGUUCAUCAGUUUACUGCGAGUUUCCACGCCGUGUAUAUCUUUACUUAAGGGACUAACUAUUCCUAAACCCAACUGUUAGCAACAGAGGUAAAUGCACAUCUACGGAUGUCUACGGUUGAUCAGUUUACGGCGAGUUUCCACGCCGUGUGUAUCUUAGUACCAAAGGAUACAACAUAAGUUAUUAUU